rnacentral:rRNA from 1 species
CGACCGGCGCACGGGUGAGUAACGCGUAUCCAACCUGCCCUUUACUUGGGGAUAACCCGUUGAAAGACGGACUAAUACCCAAUGAUAUUCAUUGAUGACAUCUGAUUUGAAUUAAAGAUUUAUCGGUAUAGGAUGGGGAUGCGUCUGAUUAGCUUGUUGGUGAGGUAACGGCUCACCAAGGCCACGAUCAGUAGGGGUUCUGAGAGGAAGGUCCCCCACAUUGGAACUGAGACACGGUCCAAACUCCUACGGGAGGCAGCAGCA